GUUGAAAGUUACAGUUACAAAAAUUGGGACAACUUCCAGGUAUGUGCUGAAUUUCAGCGCAUUACCAACCAGAAUUUAACAAACACAUUUUACGCAGAGCUAGACCGCCACAGUUUUCGCCUGAUGACUUUAUAUCGACAGAGAGCAGCGAAGACUGGAAAAACUGCUGAUGCACUUUUAUGACUUAAAGGAUCAACAUGAUGUACACACAAGGCGAACAACAGCGCUCUGUGCACUUCCUGUGUAUCUGAGAGAAGACACCUCAAAAUUCUUUAAAAUAUGCACGAUUGAAGAUGAUUCAGAAGAGCCAGAUGUUGAUUCAUCAGUUGCCCUUUUGACAGUCAUCCGAGAACUCCCAGACAUUGCAGUUCGGUACAAUACAGAGAAGAUUUUGAUCAUCCUUGAGAAUGGAGUUGUCAUAACAAACCUUCAGAGACUCUGAUGCUUUCCUUUUGAUGUUUGGCUUAAUCUAUGCAUUGGAUCUCUCAUAUCCAAAAGAGAUGGCCAACACGUUUGAGUUUAUUUAGAAGGUUCUUUUGGGUCUUGAUGAUGGCAAACUUAAGCCAAGGGUGCUGGCUCUAAAGAAUGACUUGCUGAUUCAUGCCAGGUAUGCCUUUUUUUGUUGCACAGAACUGUGGUCACAGUUUUUGUUGGCAUAAUGGCUGUUAAGGUAAUAUUUUAAUGUAAUUUAUUUGAGCUGGUGUGCCUUUUUAUUGCACAGAACUGUUUUAAUGUCUCAUGUUUUAUAAUAAAUUUUUGUACUUUGUUUAA